UCUGCCCUAUGAUUAAUUAAAUGGCCGCAGUAUCUUGACUGUGCAAAGGUAGCAUAAUCAUUUGUUUUUUUAUUGAAAACUGGAAUGAAAGAGUCGACGAAAAAUAGCCUUUUGGUUUAUAAAAUUAAAUUAACAUAAAGGUCCAAAGGCCUUUAAAACUCAAAAAGACGACAAGACCCUAUAAAACUUUACUAUUAAAAAAUAGUUAAACUGGGGCGGUUAAUACUAAAACUGUAUAAUAAAAAAUAUAUAACAUAAAAUUUAAUAACUUAAUGUCUAAAAAAUAUUGAACAAGUUACUUUAGGGAUAACAGCAUAAUUUUCUCAAAGAGCCCAAAUCGACGAGAAAGCUUAUGACCUCGAUGUUGAAUUGAAAACCCUCAUGUAAGCAGCAAUAUUUAGAGGUAGUCUGUUCGACUAUUAAAUUUUC
rnacentral:rRNA from 1 species